CCAAACCAUAUCAGGCCCCAAGGCAAGAGAGGGCUGGCAUCCUGGAAGAGGGAGCUGGGAGCAGCCACAGAGAAACAGUCUGCUGACCCCUGCUGGAGGAGGACACAAUAGCAGCCUUGGGAUGUGGCUGGCAGGAGAGCUCCUCCUUGCUUCACUGUGGUGAUGGUGGGGCCAGCAGAGCCCCCAAGGGAUGCUAGCCAUGCCUUGGGUGUGCUAUGGGUAUGUGAAAUCUGCUUCGUGGGGACAGCCUUGCUGAGAAGCCAAGGGUCCUGCACAAGUCCUUCCAGUUCUUGAUACCCAGCUGCAGUGCUAGAGUACCUGUACCCUAGCACAGCCUGGGAGGGUCUGGACAUCUUAGAUCAGCUUCAUUCUCUCUCUCUCUCUCUUUAAACAUUAAAAAAAGAACAUUUUAUUGAGAUAUAAUCCACACAUUUAAAGCAUAAACUUCAGUCCCUUAUCUCUUAACCUACUUGUCUUGUGACUCUUUUCCCUUUCGUUUCCUUAAGCUACACCUGUAUAAACUUGUUCCCUGCAAAGAUUUCAGUGAAUUUAUUCACAAUCAGGUGUAAGUGACGAAUAAUAGUAGGAUCCCUAGAAUCUCAGGAUGACCCAUCCCAUGUUGUAUGCUUUUGUCUCAGGUAGAGUUUUUCCCAAGUACACACUGGGAUGGAGUUUGGGGUACAGAAGAAGACAUCAAACAGGGAGGCAGACCAAACAAAGCCUUAGCCAGCCUAGCUCUUGCCUAGAUGUCCAGGCUUCUGUGCUUGUCCAGACCUCUCUCAGUCACCAGAUGCAAGUGCCCCAGGAGAGGAGGCUCCCUGCAGGGGAGGCCAACCCUGAAGAGCUGACCCUGGAGGCUUUCUGCGGACCACACUCCCCACAGCUGGAUAGCGAGCCCUUCCCUGAAGGGGAUCUAGAAGCUGUGUUUCCAUGUGCACCUCACCCUUUUAAAGGAUCCCAUAACCCAGUGACCCUCCAGCACCCCACUGAUAGGAGGACUCUCCCAGGACCAGGGCACCCUCUUUCUACAGAGGCAGCCCAUCCCCAUUUCACAAGGUGCUGGGCUUCCCUCUGCUGAGCUAAAAUCUGCACUCCUAAAAUGCAGGAGUGCUAGUCUAGGUUCUGCCCUUUGGAGCUACACAAAUCAAAAA
rnacentral:lncRNA from 10 species